rnacentral:rRNA from 1 species
GACGAAGGGGGCUAGCGUUGUUCGGAAUUACUGGGCGUAAAGCGCGUGUAGGCGGUUGUUCAAGUCAGGUGUGAAAGCCUUGAGCUCAACUCAAGAAAUGCACUUGAUACUGGAUGACUAGAGGACCGGAGAGGAUAGUGGAAUUCCCAGUGUAGUGGUGAAAUACGUAGAGAUUGGGAAGAACACCAGUUGGCGAAGGCGGCUAUCUGGACGGUUUCUGACGCUAAGACGCGAAAGCGUGGGGAGCAAACAGG